rnacentral:rRNA from 1 species
AAGUUCUUCGGAAUGGAAAUUGAUAUUCCAGCGGCGGACGGGUGAGUAACGCGUGAGCAAUCUGUCCCAGACAGGGGGAUAACAGAUGGAAACAUCUGCUAAUACCGCAUAAGACCACGAGGAGACAUCUUCUUGAGGUAAAAGGAGCAAUCCGGUUUGGGGUGAGCUCGCGUCCGAUUAGCUAGUUGGCGAGGUAACGGCCCACCAAGGCGACGAUCGGUAGCCGACCUGAGAGGGUGAUCGGCCACAUUGGAACUGAGACACGGUCCAAACUCC